UCGCCACGCGGUUGCAGGCGUGUGGCCAUCGCCGUGCGCCCAAUCGACGAGCAGACCGAGUCCGGCACGUCUCUCCCUCCCUCUCCCGAAGUCUCCAGCACCGCCAGCUCUUUUUCCUCUCCAUUCUUUCCGUCUCUACCUCGAGCAGAGUCAACGAGCCGAGCAGAGCCCCGUCGCCGGUGCUGCGCCGGCCAGCUCUCGCCGUCCCGCGCCUUGAUUCCUCACGCCCCAACCCUCAUCGCCUCGCCUCUGAGCUCCUCCGUCCCUUCCCGAGCCCGGCCGCGCCCUAUUCCAGCCGGAAUCGACACCCCGCGCCACCAGAGUCCAUUAAAAUUUCGUCGAAACUCAGGCCGCCGUCGAACUCCACUUCCGGUCACCGUUUCCACCAACCCAUGGAUGAAAUCGACUCCCUAAAGCUCAUGCUCUCCUCGUUCUAGCGCGUUCCCGUUGUUUCCGCGCUCGUUCUACAGCCAUGCCAUCGAUGGCAUGCUGCUGCUCGUCGCGAGCCGCGCGCACGCGCCCCUGCGCCGCACCGCCGAGCACCCCCAGUCCGUCUGGCUUUGUUGAACCCUCCCAUGGCCGCCCCAUCACCAACCUGUCUCGCCGCAGGCGAGGGCGCCGCCGCCAUUGCCACUCGUGCUGCUGCUCCCGUCGCCGGCCCUCCUCCGGCCACCUCGGCAUCAACCAAGACCACCCAGAGGUACGCUAAAUGUGCGACACGUGGAACCGGAGGGCAAUGUUGAAGUCGAGCCAGAAGAUGAUGCACGGGUGGAUCAAUCCAGAAGACGGAAGGACCGACUGGAGUACAUGCUUGGACUGGGAUGAUGUCAAGCCGGUGCAAGACUACAAGCUAACUAACUGACUUUUUGUCAAACCCAGGCAAGCCCCGGAGCAUAACCCCCUAAUUUGAGUAUUCAAUGUUUAUUUAAGUAUUUGUGCAUUUAUAUUUUUAGGAGUUGUAUGGAACCCUA